rnacentral:lncRNA from 1 species
CGGUCACUGAGGAUCUGUAUUACACAGUCUGCUAGAGCUCUGUGUUUAUACAAAGGGUGCUUGUGUUUGUUCUUGGAUAAGAAACAUAUCUCAUUCUUAUUAGCUGCUUGGAUUCCUGCCUCACAAGCUAAUUCAUCUGCAGCAGAUGGAUCCUGACUCUUUUCUAUCACCAACACCACAGUCAGCUUCUCUCCUUGUUUACC